GUUGUACAAAACAUUAAAAACGCCUACUUUUAUGUUUUAUCUCCCGAACAAAGUUCAGACUAACAGUUUUUAUAUUUAACAAAAUUUAAGAAGGAGCUGACAAGGUUAAUAAUUUUGUGAAGCGAACAGUACGAUGUGAUGAUAUGUUGAUCGAUACUAAACCGAGUGUUAUAAAAUGGAGGCAGAAAACUAGGUCGUUGUUCAUAUGAAGGGUAGGUUUGCCGAUGUCGAGCAUCGACGCCAAAGAGAGGUACACUGUGUCUUUUCCGACGAUCAAUUCUAAAACGGCCGGAAGUGGAUUUGGCGUGAAAUCGAAGGAUUCCACUGCUAGCGUGUGAAAUGACUUACAAACCGCCCUUUUGGCAUAUUUUAAUAAUUGGUUGUCACAGUCCAUCACCCACGGUCUGGACCAAUAGUCCAUACUCAGUUUGCAGGAUAAGUUGCUGCCCAACCUAUCCCACUUCUUUCUCAGCAAUCUGGACACCAUUUCUUCUACUCUCGAAGGUGCCGUCUCAGACAUGUACUUGACAGAAAACCGUGCAACAACUGUACCCGGAGUAAACAAAUGACCCUACAAACAAAAAUUAAUAUCACUCGAAGAAUUGAAGACCUGUACCAAUAACCCAAUUCUGGUGUUAAAUCACGAAUGUACACCUUCUCCAUUAUCUUUUUGAACCGUUGUGGAAGCCUAAAAGGCUCGACGACAUUCAAGUACGUGUAGACGCAAUCUUUCUGAAGAUCGUCCAACAUCAUCAUCAUAUCACAAUAAGCCUGCCUAGCGGGUCCUGUCUCACAGGUGCAAUAGUUCGAUCUUCCUUCAGAUACUUCAAUUACGAAAUGGCAAGCGCCACGACAACCGUACACGAUCCCGGCUGGUAAACUGGUUUUGCUUAAAGUUGUACACGUACAGAAGAAAUCGACGUCAAGGAAAAAGUCGUGCUUUUGCUCUUUGACGAAUUUUAUUAACGCG